AUUAAUUGAAAAAAAAAUUAUUUUUUUAUUUGAGUAUUUUAAAAAUAGUUUGGUUAUGAUUGUUAAUUAAAAAUGAGGAUAGAGUUAUAAAUUGUGUGUCUGAUUAUUAAUUUUAGGUUGAAUUAGGUUUUGAAUACUAUUUCGAAUUCAUUGCAAAACAAAUUUUUUUAUUUUACAGAUGACGUUAAACUUUUAAAAUUCAAUUUAACAUACAACUUAAAAUUUAAUUCAAUACUCUAUUCAAAAAUUAUAAUCAAGUAAAUUUUUUACAUUUAAAUCAUAAUUUUACAACUUAAGCUUAAAAUCCAAUUUAUACUUUUAAAUUAUAUUUAUAAAACUCUAUCAAAAGCAAUUUAAUUUUUUGAAGAUUUAGUUCUGAUAUUUAUGGUAAUUAAUAUGAAAAUGUACAUAUGGUAAGGCUCUGUAUUCUAGAAUGUCCCCAUUGUAAGUACAUUAAUAUUGUAGAUGGUUCAAAUGUCAAAGAUUGUUGGUUCGGUUAUUGGGAUUCUGUGCAUAAUGUAAUUUCAGAGUGGUUCAGUUGUACUAUGAUGUGUGUGGGCUGGUUUAUGUUUCUGUUUUUGGUUAGGGUUUGGGUUGGAAUGUGUAGUGGUUUGGAGGUUGGUCCCUUAUGGGUAAUUGUAAUUUAGUCAAAAUGUCAAUUGUAAACCAGUAUUAAGCUCCAGGGUUGGUGGUGGCUGCAUGUUGUGACUUUAAAUAGCAGAUGUGGGUUCAUGGAUUUUGUUUCAGUGUUGCAGCAGAGUAAAGAUUCUUUGAUUCCUGUGUGCGGUGGCUGGAGAGGAUGAAUUUUAGCGGCUUGAUCAUUUGAAGGAAUAAAUUCAGGCAUUGCAAUAAAGAAUGUUUUUUUGUCAUGUUGGUGCAGAGGAGACCGUACCUUCUUUUGUGGUGAACUCAAUUUUUUGUGCUAUUUCUUUAAUGCUGCAUAGUUUUUCUAGCUAAUGUGACAGAUUUUGGAUUGCAGUGGUUGUGACUUUGGGGUUGCGCAUGUCUAAUUCAAGUCUUGAUUCUUCAUGUGUAGAUUUUGUGGUGUUAACUUCAUUAUUUUUUUGGCAGAUGUUGGAGUCCGUUUUACUAGUAUUUCUUGAGGGGUGCGGCCACAAAUGCAUUGUAGGAAGUGUGCAGUUCAGCAUUGUGUAUCUGCUUGUGUUUGCCAUUUGUUGUAUUUACUUCAUAUGUUGUGCUGAUCCCCAGGAGGCUUGAGUUGGAAGUGUAAUUGGGUCGUCUCACGUGUGAGAUAGAUUUCUAGAGUUUGCUUC